rnacentral:lncRNA from 1 species
UGUAUUCCAAGAGGGCUAUAAUUUUUAUUUCUUUGUGAAUUGUGAUCUGAAUACGGUUAAUGUGUUUACUAUAUAUAACAAACAUACUAAUAAUACGCCACCAUUCACAUAUGUAGCCCUUAAAUCAAAUAGUUGUAGAUUUUUUUUUUUUUUUUUGUGAACCAGUUGUAGUUGUUUAAGGUUAAUUAAUAAUUAUUGAAAGGAAGAAGAAAAAAAAAUGAAGAAGAACAUUGUGUGUGGUACGUAUAAAUAUCUGAUGUAAUUAAUCCCCAAGUCCUUUAGAGUGAUGUCCACACUAGGACUUGACUUGUAACAUGGAUGCAAUUUAUAUGCUAAAAC